rnacentral:rRNA from 1 species
AUGUACAGGCCAUGCUACCCUGAACAAGCCCGAUCCUGUCUGAUCUUGGAAGCUAAGCAGGGUCGGGCCUGUUUAGUACUUGGAUGGGAGACCACCUAGGAAGACCAGGUGCUGUAGGCA